CCGAGUCGUAGUGAACGCAUCCAGCUAGUCCCCCUGGGGAGUGGGGUUUUCCGCUUAACCUGCAGUUCUCACGUAUGUAGGAGUGCGCCGUAUGCUGCAGCGGCGGAGCAUUGUCGAAAGGACCCUUUAACACGUGAGUAACCUGCCCCUGACUCUGGGAUAAGCGUUGGAAACGACGUCUAAUACUGGAUAUGAUCACUGGCCGCAUGGUCUGGUGGUGGAAAGAUUUUUUGGUUGGGGAUGGACUCGCGGCCUAUCAGCUUGUUGGUGAGGUAAUGGCUCACCAAGGCGACGACGGGUAGCCGGCCUGAGAGGGUGACCGGCCACACUGGGACUGAGACACGGCCCAGACUCCUACGGGAGGCAGCAGUGGGGAAUAUUGCACAAUGGGCGAAAGCCUGAUGCAGCAACGCCGCGUGAGGGAUGACGGCCUUCGGGUUGUAAACCUCUUUUAGUAGGGAAGAAGCGAAAGUGACGGUACCUGCAGAAAAAGCACCGGCUAACUACGUGCCAGCAGCCGCGGUAAUACGUAGGGUGCAAGCGUUGUCCGGAAUUAUUGGGCGUAAAGAGCUCGUAGGCGGUUUGUCGCGUCUGCUGUGAAAUCCCGAGGCUCAACCUCGGGCUUGCAGUGGGUACGGGCAGACUAGAGUGCGGUAGGGGAGAUUGGAAUUCCUGGUGUAGCGGUGGAAUGCGCAGAUAUCAGGAGGAACACCGAUGGCGAAGGAGAUCUCUGGGCCGUAACUGACGCUGAGGAGCGAAAGCAUGGGGAGCGAACAGGAUUAGAUACCCUGGUAGUCCAUGCCGUAAACGUUGGGCGCUAGAUGUAGGGACCUUUCCACGGUUUCUGUGUCGUAGCUAACGCAUUAAGCGCCCCGCCUGGGGAGUACGGCCGCAAGGCUAAAACUCAAAGGAAUUGACGGGGGCCCGCACAAGCGGCGGAGCAUGCGGAUUAAUUCGAUGCAACGCGAAGAACCUUACCAAGGCUUGACAUACACCGGAAACGGCCAGAGAUGGUCGCCCCCUUGUGGUCGGUGUACAGGUGGUGCAUGGUUGUCGUCAGCUCGUGUCGUGAGAUGUUGGGUUAAGUCCCGCAACGAGCGCAACCCUCGUUCUAUGUUGCCAGCGGGUUAUGCCGGGGACUCAUAGGAGACUGCCGGGGUCAACUCGGAGGAAGGUGGGGAUGACGUCAAAUCAUCAUGCCCCUUAUGUCUUGGGCUUCACGCAUGCUACAAUGGCCGGUACAAAGGGCUGCGAUACCGUAAGGUGGAGCGAAUCCCAAAAAGCCGGUCUCAGUUCGGAUUGAGGUCUGCAACUCGACCUCAUGAAGUCGGAGUCGCUAGUAAUCGCAGAUCAGCAACGCUGCGGUGAAUACGUUCCCGGGCCUUGUACACACCGCCCGUCAAGUCAUGAAAGUCGGUAACACCCGAAGCCGGUGGCCUAACCCUUGUGGAAGGAGCCGUCGAAGGUGGGAUCGGUGAUUAGGACUAAGUCGUAACAAGGUAGCCGUACCGGAAGGUGC
rnacentral:rRNA from 1 species